GAACUCAGAAGUCAGGAACAGGAAGAACAUAGAAUGAGAAGCCUAAAUCUGCUCAGUCUAGUCCAUCUCACUCUGUCCCUUUCGUUCUCUGAGGAAUCAGAAAACGAGAAGAUGCGGUGGUGCAAAUCCUAUCAACUCUGCUUCCCAAAACUCUGAUGCGAUUCAAGUGCUUCUCAAAAAGAUGGUAUGUGUUCUGAUCACCAACCCGAGGUUUGUACCUAAUUAAGCGCCUCCCCAAUUCCAUGCACAACAAUCUCUCUACUACUUUUGAAGUGUUUAGUUUUAAUGAGGCUGAAGAAGAGCCUGAAAUGGUUUUCUCAUUUCCUAAAUUUUGCAACAAGAUUGAUGAUAUUGAGUUAUUGACAAGUAACAUGCAAAUGCACAUGAGCAUAAUAGCUAUGUUUCAAGGUGGAGCACGAGAUUCUUCUGAAGACUAGCUCCGAAUCACUGCAAGUGGUAGGCGGUAGCCAUGGUGAUGGGAUCACAUGUCUAGUUGUUCUAACAGGUCAGGUGUUUUAAUGGACUAUUCGUUUCAAUCGUUUGUUAUAUUGUGAAAGUUCCAUCUUUAUUUUGUGAAAAUUCCAUGCUGUGUAUUUCCUUAUUUCAGGAUCUUUGUUAAAUCAUCAGUGAACUAUUUUGUUUAUUUUCUAGGACUAUGCAAUUUAACUUAUAGAGAUGAAUUGCCUGGCAUAUCUUGUAGACUUUCUGAGUUGUUGAGUAGCUAGGAGACCGAUUUAAUGGCUAUAGAUCUAGUUUAUCCUUCUUCUUUCAUGAACAUAAACAUUACCAAUUACUCAUGGAAUUAUAAUUACCACAAAAGUGACUAAGGGCUUUCAGAUGGCUUUACUGAUAAGGAUAUGUGAUGGUAAACUCAGGUGUCAACUCCCAAACAAACUGGAAACUUCCAGUUGUAACUAUAGUACCACCCCCAUCCCUUUUCUUCUCUUCUGCAAGGGUAUACUACAAACUGAUCAUAAUCAGGAGCUUAGCAUCAAAUUUUGUUUGCACCAUCGUACGGAAGUUGUGAAAUCAAACUAAUGUAAACUUUGCUUCUGUAUUAAGAAAUAAAAACUUGUGCAGGAGAGAGAAGUGAACAAACAAUAAUAUAUAGCACACUGCAGAACCAGCGAACUAGCAGUUAGUCUAAUGGUAAGGCAUUCCUCUUCAACAUAAUACUGUAUUGGGCUACAGGUCCAAAGUUUGUCGCGCAAGAGAGACAAAAAGAAUACACCAUAGCAGGCAAGUCCUUGUGUGAAGUUUGAAACUUUUUCAAAAUAGUAUGGAUCUGACAAAAAGUAAAAAUGAAAAGAGGCAGCCAGCACAGAUUCAAAUGGCCAACUGCGUUACCAUUAGGAAUUCGGUCAAAUGCAUAGACGUGUAAUAACCUAUUUGAGUGAAAUUCGUUUUUAUCAUAUACCAUAGUUGGCAAUUCAUAUAUGGUAUCAAUAUGUACAAAAAGUUGCAACAAUUAAGAGAGAGUUGGUGGAUUAUUGUUUCUAGAGGUCUCCUUUUGUGCUUCUUAAGGCGAGCAGAAGAAACCUUCAACAAGAGAAAGGGUAGCAGGAGAGCGACUUUUAACAAGAGAAACCUUCAACAAGAGAAAGGGAGCACCUCGCUAAAAUUGUGAUGGAUCAAGCAGACUAUCUCAGGAAAGAGAUCUCUAGGAAGAAGAUGGAAUUGGAAGAGGUGAAAAGAGAAAAUAAAGCACUGGAAGAGAAGCUGUUUCUGGGUGAAUACCUUAAUGGUAAGAGUCUAGAUGGCUUAAGCCCCAAAAGGGUAUCAGACUUGGCUGUUAUAAUUGUUAAAACAAUUGAGGCCGUACAAAGGCGGAAAGAGGUCCUUAUUAACAGUCUUGAGGGUAGUCUUGAUGCCGGAAAGUAGCUUAUCAAGAUACUGGAUUCUGGUAAUGAAAGGCUGGCCAAAAUA